UACGUGAGGGGCGAACGUUGUUCGGUAUCACUGGGCUUAAAGGGCGCGUAGGUGGCUGUGCAAGUAAGGUGUGAAAGCCCUCGGCUUACCCGGGGAAUUGCGCCUUAAACUGCAUGGCUUGAGGGAUUCAGGGGAAUGGGGAACUCCAGGUGUAGCGGUGAAAUGCGCAGAUAUCUGGGGGAAGGCCGGCGGCGAAGGCGCCAUUCUGGGAAUUUCCUGACACUGAGGCGCGAAAGCGUGGGGAGCAAACAGG
rnacentral:rRNA from 1 species